GACGAACGCUGGCGGCGUGCUUAACACAUGCAAGUCGAACGGAAAGGCCCUGCUUUUGUGGGGUGCUCGAGUGGCGAACGGGUGAGUAACACGUGAGUAACCUGCCCUUGACUUUGGGAUAACUUCAGGAAACUGGGGCUAAUACCGGAUAGGAGCUCCUGCUUCAUGGCGGGGGUUGGAAAGUUUCGGCGGUUGGGGAUGGACUCGCGGCUUAUCAGCUUGUUGGUGGGGUAGUGGCUUACCAAGGCUUUGACGGGUAGCCGGCCUGAGAGGGUGACCGGCAACAUUGGGACUGAGAGACGGCCCAGACUCCUACGGGAGGCAGGAGUGGGGAAUAUUGCACAAUGGGCGGAAGCCUGAUGCAGCAACGCCGCGUGCGGGAUGACGGCCUUAGGGUUGUAAACCGCUUUCGCCUGUGACGAAGCGUGAGUGACGGUAAUGGGUAAAGAAGCACCGGCUAACUAAGUG
rnacentral:rRNA from 1 species